UCUAUGGAGAGUUUGAUCCUGGCUCAGGACGAACGCUGGCGGCGUGCCUAAUACAUGCAAGUCGAGCGGAGUUUUGAAAAGCUUGCUUUUCAAAACUUAGCGGCGGACGGGUGAGUAACACGUGGGCAACCUGCCCUUGAGACGGGGAUAACUCCGGGAAACCGGAGCUAA
rnacentral:rRNA from 1 species